AGAGUUUGAUCCUGGCUCAGGACCGAACGCUGGCGGCGUGCCUAAUACAUGCAAGUCGAGCGGACAGAAGGGAGCUUGCUCCCGGAUGUUAGCGGCGGACGGGUGAGUAACACGUGGGUAACCUGCCUGUAAGACUGGGAUAACUCCGGGAAACCGGAGCUAAUACCGGAUAGUUCCUUGAACCGCAUGGUUCAAGGAUGAAAGACGGUUUCGGCUGUCACUUACAGAUGGACCCGCGGCGCAUUAGCUAGUUGGUGGGGUAAUGGCUCACCAAGGCGACGAUGCGUAGCCGACCUGAGAGGGUGAUCGGCCACACUGGGACUGAGACACGGCCCAGACUCCUACGGGAGGCAGCAGUAGGGAAUCUUCCGCAAUGGACGAAAGUCUGACGGAGCAACGCCGCGUGAGUGAUGAAGGUUUUCGGAUCGUAAAGCUCUGUUGUUAGGGAAGAACAAGUGCGAGAGUAACUGCUCGCACCUUGACGUACCUAACCAGAAAGCCACG
rnacentral:rRNA from 1 species